rnacentral:lncRNA from 1 species
AGGUUCUUAAUAGAGCUCGGUUAGUUCCAGUUAGUUCGUUAUUUGUUCUUUUUAUCCAUAGUCCAUUUAAGUAUCAAAAAAUAAAAAUAUAUUUAUACUUUUUUUCUUUUUUAUAAUUUCAAGCCCACCAAAAAUUAUUAUGGUCCGCCUGCGUUUACGAAAAACGUUGCUAACUUCACAUGCGUAAAAUAUAACCGGGAAAGUAGGGGUAGUCAGAAAAGUGGUUAAUUUGAAUGGAAGUUUAUUAAACCAGCAUUUAAAAUGGCUCAAAAUAAUUUUAUCCUAGUUGUAAAUUUAUCAGAAUUUUUCACUGAUCAUAGGCAGAGAGCAAGAAUGUUCAUUAAUGAAAAAAUUAAAAAGGUGGAAGAUUUACAACACAAAAUUGCAAACUGUUUUGGCAUAGAGGAUUUUAUUUUAACUAGUUC